AACGAACGCUGGCGGCGUGCCUAACACAUGCAAGUCGUGCGAGAAAGUCCCUUCGGGAGCGAGUAAAGCGGCGCACGGGUGAGUAACACGUAGGUAACCUGCCCCCCAGUCUGGAACAACUAGAGGAAACUCUAGCUAAUGCCGGAUGAGACCACGAUCCCUUCGGGGGUUGCGGCCAAAAGAUGGCCUCUACUUGUAAGCUAUCGCUGAGGGAUGGGCCUGCGGGCCAUUAGCUUGUUGGUGAGGUAACGGCUCACCAAGGCUGUGACGAUCUGUAGCUGGUCUGAGAGGAUGACCAGCCACACUGGGACUGAGACACGGCCCAGACUCCUACGGGAGGCAGCAGUGGGGAAUAUUGCGCAAUGGGCGAAAGCCUGACGCAGCGACGCCGCGUGGGUGAUGAAGGCC
rnacentral:rRNA from 1 species